UACGUAGGGUGCGAGCGUUAAUCGGAAUUACUGGGCGUAAAGCGUGCGUAGGCGGCUUUGUAAGUCAGAUGUGAAAUCCCCGGGCUCAACCUGGGAACUGCGUUUGAAACUGCAAGGCUAGAGUAUGGGAGAGGGAGGUAGAAUUCCACGUGUAGCAGUGAAAUGCGUAGAGAUGUGGAGGAAUACCAAUGGCGAAGGCAGCCCCCUGGGCUAACACUGACGCUCAUGCACGAAAGCGUGGGGAGCAAACAGG
rnacentral:rRNA from 1 species